rnacentral:rRNA from 1 species
AGUGAACGCUGGCGGUAGGCCUAACACAUGCAAGUCGAACGGCAGCACAGUAAGAGCUUGCUCUUACGGGUGGCGAGUGGCGGACGGGUGAGGAAUACAUCGGAAUCUACUUUUUCGUGGGGGAUAACGUAGGGAAACUUACGCUAAUACCGCAUACGACCUACGGGUGAAAGCAGUGGAUCUUCGGACCUUGCGCGAUUGAAUGAGCCGAUGUCGGAUUAGCUAGUUGGCGGGGUAAAGGCCCACCAAGGCGACGAUCCGUAGCUGGUCUGAGAGGAUGAUCGGCCACACUGGAACUUGGACACGGUCCAGACUCCUACGGGAGGCAGCAGUGGGGAAUAUUGGACAAUGGGCGCAAGCCUGAUCCAGCCAUACCGCGUGGGUGAAGAAGGCCUUCGGGUUGUAAAGCCCUUUUGUUGGGAAAGAAAAGCAGCAGGUUAAUACCCCGCGGUUCUGACGGUACCCAAAGAAUAAGCACCGGCUAACUUCGUG